GCUCGGUGAGACAUGCACACCUAUGCCACAUCUUUACAUGUAAGUUUGUUUUGCUUAGCCAUGGACAGUGAGGUCCCCCUUCUCUGAUUUCUUCAUUCCCAGUUCAUUUAUUUGUUUGAUAUAAAUAUCUUUACUAUAGGAUUUAUGUCCUUGCCAACUCUACAAUUGUUAAUUGCACACUCAGAGUAUGGAUAUUGAAUUAGCUACUUUUGCGAUCCCUGGACUACACGAGUCAAUAGAGCUGAUGUUAAUCAGUGUUUCUGGAUUGCCCAUCUUUCAGUUGAGUUAAGGCUUUUUCUAUUGUCCGCAAAUGAAAAUUAUUUGAUGUACCCCUGGUAUGAUAAAAGAAGAGAUUGCCCUUUUCCUUUGUAAAAUUUUCCACACACGAUGUCGUCGAGGAUGAUUUCAGAAUUUAUAUGCUCAUUGGUUCCAUUACUCCUUUCUCCAUUAACUCAUAUUAGACAGUGGUGUAUAAAGGUUGCACCUGACUCUGUUUUCCAAGGAAAUACAAAUGAAGUUAUAUUACUUGCAACCUGCGACCCCUCUUCGCUAAACAAGAAAAGUAAAAAUGAUAACCUAUCAGGCAGUAAAAUUACGUGGCUGAUCUCUGUUUUGUGCAUGUUCGGUUGGGAUUAUGAGUUGUUCUACUUUCCUUAAGAGAGCUUAUUUUCCUCUCAUGAGAUGCAUACUUAUAUUUCUGAAAUAAAUGAAUCUUUUGGGUUGUAACCUGUUCUUAGUAACGAUGCUUUACCAUCUGCCUUCAGCUCUCCUUUAUGUUGUUUUUUCUAAAUUAUUUCUAUGGACUACUACCAUAACUUGUUGGUUUAGUUUAGUUAGGUGUCUAGGAAGAAUUUCCAGUCUUGCAGAUGAAUCAUGAUAUCAGGUUUAGGCAUGCACAUGGCCACUAAUCACAAAAAAUGAUAUCUGAUAAAGCCAUCAUCAUGUCAUGUAAUUACUUGCAGAACAAUUAUAUUGUUUUUUGGGGCGGUAAAGCGGAAACGGUAGGACUCCGCAAGUCAUGUGAGUGUUGUUUGAUUAUUUACUUUCUCAAGUGUGUGGAUGUCGUUAGCAUGUUUAGUAUACGCACGGAGAUAUGCAAAGUGUAAAAAUAGUUUCCUGGGAACGUCAGAUUUUUUUUCUCCUUGGAACGAAUGAAAUGUUCGCCAGCGAGCGAUCACCCCACCGAACGUUUUUGGUCGAUCUGGGGGAGGAGCUGGACCGAACGAUUCGCCCCAGGCCCCCACGCGAACAGUUGCCCCUGCAGGCAAAAACAAAACUUUGACUAGGCCUUUACAGCCUCCAAUUAGGCUAAAAAAUGGCCCUGUUUUUUGUGACGCCUCAACACUUGGAUCAUCGCUCGAGGUUAUUGCUUUUGAGUUUCAGGUGAUAGGUUCUUUUUAUUGAUUUUUUGGAAAUCAUGAUGCUAAAUAUAUGGAUUGUGUCAGUUAGCUAAUCUAUUGGCUCUUUGAUGUGAAUGGUGACAUGAUGCCAAUGAAAAUACAUUUUGAACUGAUAGUAUUUGUAUAGUUUAAUUUUGACAGAGUAUAGGAGCAUACUCAAUGUCUUCCGCUUUUUGUAUGAGGUCGGCUUAUCUUGCUUAUAGUAAUUAGCUAAAUAAAUAUAUGGGCAUUUAAGAAUAUCUUUGCAAUUAGGCCAGGCGUGAGAAAAAUUUCAAAGACGAUGAUGUUCUCUUUUGGUGUAUUUCUAUUCUCCCUGUUCCAAAUUUUUUGUUUGGAUGCCACUGGCACACCACAUGCUGUUCUGAAGAUAUCAUGCUAUGGGACUUCUCAGCAGAACCUAAACAAAAGGAAGCUAUGGUUUUACUUGCAGCUCAGAUUUCACAUCCUUCCCAGGUUUCACAAAAAACAUAAACAUAUGCUUGGAUGGGUGUCCUUGCCUGCGACCUUGCUGUCUCCAACCCAUCCACAGGUAUUGCAACUCCUUCCCAUCCAACUUAUUCACUGUUCGUCCUCUCUGCUGUGAUUUGGCGGUUGAAAUCAAUUCGUCUGGAUAGGGAGGAGCAAUUGAGUAAUCAUUUACGCACCAUGUAUAGGCUGAAAGAUGAAAACUAAAGACCAUCGAAAAGAUAACACCAUCUUUUAUUGGAAAGAUAGAGAUGGAAAACUAAAAAAAACAUAGUAUUAGUUUUUUAUCCAAUGGAAAUUCAUACCGCGUGAGCCCUGAGGUUGAGAAUGGGAAAAUGACUGAACUUGUUCACAACACUAGCAGUAAUCUUGAUCUUUAUUUAACUGAUUUUGUAUUCUCGACCAGUUUGCAUACUUUUAUAGAUGAAUUAUUCCCGGUGUUACUGGUUCACUUGCUACAUGGCUCGAGCAUGCUACUCCUAACCUAAGUGGUUGUUGGUCUCACUUUAUUGAUGGAUGGGGGAGGUUGAGAAUUUUCUUAUGUUUGUUUGUAUUUUCUUUCGAGAUAAUCUGCAUGGUGCUACUUAAAAUUUAUGAAUGGUUUGUCGGCAUGUCACUGGGAUUUAGAGGCAGAAACGUCUUACUCCUGACUACAUGGAGUUCUCAAUAAAUUAUUCUUGUCAUUUUUUUCGAGGUGAUGUUCGCUCCGGUUCCUCCUUCUCUACCCAGCAGUAUGGGUAACUCAAAGCAUAGAUCUGAUUGUGCUUCUUGCAGUUUAUGCUUCCUAUCUCCGGGUCAUCUGCCUCCCAAAGACUACUCCGAGGUAUGAAAGUAAAGCCCCUUCCUCCGCCUUAAUGUUGAUCACGUUCAUACCUGUGUUAUAUUUUUUGUGUGCAACCACAAUAAUGGUUCUUUAUUUGUUUCAUUUUGACAUACAUGUUUCUGGAAUACUCUUAUCUGCCAUCAGACAUGCAGUCAAAGUUGAUUUUCUUAUAAGCUAGAACAUCGCAUAGCUAAUUGAUAGUUGCACCGCCUGAUUCUUUUUACCUAGAAGGUCCUGAUGCACAUUGUAUAUGUUGGGGAACGUAGCAGAAAGUCAAAAUUUUCUUACGUGUCACCAAGAUCUAUCUAUGGAGAGACCAGCAACGAGUAGAAAGAGAAUGCAUCUACAUACCCUUGUAGAUCGCUAAGCAGAAGCGUUCAAGUGAACGGGGUUGAUGGAGUCGUACUCGUCGUGAUUCAAAUCACCGAUGAUCCUAGUGCCGAACGGACGGCACCUCCGCGUUCAACACACGUACAGCCCAGUGACAUCUCCCACGCCUUGAUCCAGCAAGGAGAGAGGGAGAGGUUGAGGAAGACUCCAUCCAACAGCAGCACAACGGCGUGGUGGUGGUGGAGGAGCGUGGCAAUCCAGCAGGGCUUCGCCAAGCACCAUGGGAGAGGAGGAGUAGGGAGAGAGGUAGGGCUGUGCCAGAACUUCGUGUAUAGCUCCCAUGCGCCUCCCCACUAUAUAUAGGGGUGGAGGGGCUGGUUUCUUGCCCUCCGAGUCCAUUGGGGCAUUGGCCAAGGUGGGAGGAAAGAAAUCUCAUUAUUUCCUUCCCCACCGAUUGUUAUCCCCCCUUUUUAGGGAUCUUGAUCUUAUCCCUUCGGGAUAUGAUCUUAUUCCUUCUAAGGGGGGAUCUUGGUGCGCCUUGACCAGGGGUGUGGGGCCUUGACCCCACUACCCACGUCCAUGUGGGUCCCCCCAUGCAGGUGGGCCCCACUCCGGAACCUUCUAGAACCUUCCCGGUACAAUACCGAAAAAUCCCGAACAUUUUCCGGUGGCCAAAAUAGGACUUCCCAUAUAUAAAUCUUUACCUCCGGACCAUUCCGGAACUCCUCGUGACGUCCGGGAUCUUAUCCGGGACUCCGAACAACAUUCGGUAACCACAUACAAACUUCCUUUAUAACCCUAGCGUCAUCGAACCUUACGUGUGUAGACCCUACGGGUUCGGGAGACAUGUAGACAUGACCGAGACGUUCUCCGGUCAAUAACCAACAGCGGGAUCUGGAUACCCAUGAUGGCUCCCACAUGUUCCACGAUUAUCUCAUCGGAUGAACCACGAUGUCAAGGACUUAAUCAAUCCCGUAUUCAAUUCCCUUUGUCUAUCGGUAUGUUACUUGCCCGAGAUUCGAUCGUCGGUAUCCAAUACCUUGUUCAAUCUCGUUACCAGCAAGUCACUUUACUCGUUCCGUAACACAUCAUCCCGUGAUCAACUCCUUGGUCACAUUGCGCAUAUGAUGAUGUCCUACUGAGUGGGCCCAGAGAUACCUCUCCGUUUACACGGAGUGACAAAUCCCAGUCUCGAUCCGCAUAAAACAAUAGAUACUUUUGGAGAUACCUGUAGUGCACCUUUAUAGUCACCCAGUUACGUUGUGACGUUUGAUACACCCAAAGCACUCCUACGGUAUCCAGGAGUUACAUGCUCUCAUGGUCGAAGGAAGAGAUACUUGACAUUGGCAAAGCUCUAGCAAAUGAACUACACGAUCUUUUGUGCUAGUCUUAGGAUUGGGUCUUGUCCAUCACAUCAUUCUCCUAAUGAUGUGAUCCCGUUAUCAACGACAUCCAGUGUCCAUAGCCAGGAAACCAUGACUAUCUGUUGAUCACAACGAGCUAGUCAACUAGAGGCUCACUAGGGACAUAUUGUGGUCUAUGUAUUCACACAUGUAUUACGAUUUCCGGAUAAUACAGUUAUAGCAUGAAUAAAAGACAAUUAUCAUGAACAAGGAAAUAUAAUAAUAAUACUUUUAUUAUUGCCUCUAGGGCAUAUUUCCAACAGUCUCCCACUUGCACUAGAGUCAAUAAUCUAGUUCACAUCGCCAUGUGAUUAACACUCACAGGUCACAUCGCCAUGUGACUAAUACCCAAGAGUUUACUAGAGUUAGUAGUCUAGUUCACAUCACUAUGUGAUUAACACUCAAUGAGUUUUAUGUUUGAUCAUGUUGCUUGUGAGAGAGGUUUUAGUCAACGGGUCUGAACCUUUCAGAUCCGUGUGUGCUUUACAAAUCUCUAUGUCAUCUCCUAGAUGCAGCUACCACGCUCUAUUUGGAGCUAUUCCAAACAACUGUUCUACUUGGAGCUAUUCUAAAUUAUUGCUCCAUUAUAUGUAUCCGGUCUCUCUACUCAGAGCUAUCCGGAUAGGUGUCAAGCUUGCAUCGUCGUAACCUUUACGACGAACUCUUUUACCACCUCCAUAAUCGAGAAAAUUCCUUAGUCCACUAGUUACUAAGGAUAACUUUGACCGCUGUCCUGUGAGCCAUUCUUGGAUCACUCUUGUACCCCUUGACUGACUCAUGGCAAGGCACACUUCAGGUGCGGUACACAGCAUAGCAUACUGAAGAGCCUACGUCUUAAGCAUAGGGGACGACCUUCGUCCUUUCUCUCUAUUCUGCCGUGGUCGAGCUUUAAGUCUUAACUUCGUAGCUUACAACUCAGGCAAGAACUCCUUCUUUGACUGGUCCAUCUUGAACACCUUCAAGAUCAUGUCAAGGUAUGUUCUCAUUUGAAAUAUUAUUAAGCAUUUUGAUCUAUCCUUAUAGAUCUUGAUGCUCAAUGUUCAAGUAGCUUAAUCCAGGCUUUCCAUUGAAAAACACUUUCAAAAUAACCCUAUAUGCUUUCCAGAAAUUCUACGUCAUUUCUGAUCAACAAUAUGUCAACAACAUAUACUCAUCAGAAAUUCUAUAGUGCUCCCACUCACUUCUUUGGAAAUACAAGUUUCUCAUAAACUUUGUACAAACCCAAAAUUUUUGAUCAUCAUCAAAGCAUACAUUCCAACUCCGAGAUGCUCACUCCAGUCCUUAGAAGGAUUGCUGGAGCUUUGCAUACUUAUUAGCAUCUUUCGGGCUUGACAAAGCCUUCCGGUUGUAUCACAUACAACCUUUCCUCAUUAAAAUCGUCGAGGAAACAAUGUUUUGACAUCCUAUCUGCAAGAUUUCAUAAAUAAUGCAGUAAUCGCUAAUAUAAUUCCAACAGACUCUUAGCAUCGCUACGAGUGAGAAAAUCUCAUCGUAGUCAACUCCUUGAACUUGUCGGAAAACAUCUUAACGACAAGUCGAGCUUUCUUAAUGGUGACAUUUACCAUCAUUGUCUGUCUUCCUUUUGAAAUCCAUCUGUACUCAUUAGCCUUACGACCAUCGAGCCGUUCUGCCAAAGUCUACACUUUGUUUUCAUACAUGGAUCCUCUCUCGGAUUUUAUGGCCUCAAGCCAUUUAUCGGAAUCCGGGCCCACCAUCGCUUCUCCAUAGCUCGUAGGUUCAUUGUUGUCUAGCAACAUGACCUUCAAGACAGGAUUACGUACCACUCUGAAGUAGUACGCAUCCUUGUCAUCCUACGAGGUUUGGGAGUGACUUGAUCCGAAGUUUCAUGAUCAAUAUCAUAAGCUUCCACUUCAAUUGGUGUAGGUGCCACAGGAACAACUCCCUGUGCCCUGUCACACACUUGUUGAAGAGACGGUUCAAUAACCUCAUCAAGUCUCCACCAUCCUCCCACUCAAUUCUUUCGAGAGAAACUUUUCCUCGAGAAAGGACCCGAUUCUAGAAACAAUCCAUAUUGCUUUCGGAUCUGAAUUAGGAGGUAUACCCAACUGUUUUGGGUUUCCUAUGAAGAUGCAUUUUAUCCGCUUUGGGUUCGAGCUUAUCAACCUGAAACUUUUUCAUAUAAGCGUCGCAGCCCCAAACUUUUAAGAAACGACAACUUAGGUUUCUCUAAACCAUAAUUCAUAUGGUGUCAUCUCAUCGGAAUUACGUGGUGCCCUAUUUAAAGUGAAUGUGGUUGUCUCUAAUGCCUAACCCAUGAACGAUAGUGGUAAUUCGAUAAGAGACAUCAUGGUACGCACCAUAUCCAAUAGGGUGCAACUAUGAUGUUCGGACACACCAUCACAUUAUGGUGUUCCAGGCGGUAUUAAUUGCGAAACAAUUUCCACAAUGUCUUAAUUGUGUGCCAAAACUCGUAACUCAGAUAUUCAUCUCUAUGAUCAUAUCAUAGACAUUUUAUCCUCUUGUCACAAUGAUCUGCUACUUCACUCUGAAAUUACUUGAACCAUUCAAUAAUUCAGACUUGUGUUUCAUCAAGUAAAUAUACUCAACAUUUACUCGAAUCAUCUGUGAAGUAAGAACAUAAUGAUAUUCACUGCAUGCCUCAGCACUCAUUCGACUGCACACAUCAAAAUGUGUUACUUCCAACAAGUUGCCAUCUUGUUCCAUCUUACUAAAAAUGAGGCUUUUCAGUCAUCUUGCCCAUGUGGUAUGAUUUGCAUAUCUCAAGUGAUUCAAAAUCAAGUGAGUCCGAACGAUCCAUUUGCAUGGAGUUUCUUCAUGCAUAUACACCAAUAGACAUGGUUCGCAUGUCUCAAACUUUUCAAAAACGAGUGAGUCCAAAGAUCCAUCAACAUGGAGCUUCUUCAUGCGUUUUAUACCAUUAUGACUUACAUGGCAGUGCCACAAGUAAGUGGUACUAUCAUUACUAUCUUAUAUCUUUUGGAAUGAAAAUGUGUAUCACUACAAUCGAGAUUCAAUAAACCAUUCAGGUUCAAUACUAAUCUUGAUGGUAGAGGGAGUGUGCGAUGUUUGAUCACAUCAAACUUGGAAACACUUCCAACAUAUAUUGUCAGCUCACCUUUAGCUAGUCUCCGUUUAUUCCGUAGCCUUUUAUUUCAAGUUACUAACACUUAGCAACCGAACCGGUAUCUUAAUACCCUGGUGCUACUAGGAGUACUAGUAAAGUACACAUUAACAUAAUGUAUAUCCAAUAUACUUAUAUCGACUUUGCCAGCCUUCUCAUCUACCAAGUAUCUAGGGUAAUUCUGCUUCAGUGGUUGUUCCCCUUAUUACAGAAGCACUUAGUCUCGGGUUUGGGUUCAAUCUUGGGUUUCUUCACUAGAGCAGCAGCUGAAUUGCCGUUUCAUGAAGUAUUCCUUCUUGCCCUUGCCCUUCUUGAAACUAGUGGUUUCACCAACCAUCAACAAUUGAUGCUCCGUCUUGAUUUCUACUUUCGUGGCGUCAAACAUCGCGAAUAUCUCAAGGAUCAUCAUAUAUGUCCCUGAUAUAUCAUAGUUCAUCACGAAGCUCUAGCAGCUUGGUGGUAAUAACUUCGGAGAACCAUCACUAUUUCAUCUGGAAGAUCAACUCCCACUCGAUUCAAGCGAUUGUUGUACUCAGACAAUCUGAGCACAAGCACAACAAUCGAGCUUUUCUCCUUAGUCUGCAGGCUAAGAAAAUCGUCGGAGGUCUUAUACCUCUUGACGUGGGCACGAGCCUGAAAUCCCAAUUUCAGCCCUCGAAACAUCUCAUAUGUUCCGUGAUGUUUCGAAAACGUCUUUGGUGCCUCAACUCUAAACCGUUUAACUAAACUAUCACGUAGUUAUCAAAACGUGUAUGUCCGAUGUUCACAACAUCCACAGACGAGGUUUGGGGUUCAGCACACUGAGCGGUGCAUUAAGGACAUAAGCUUUCUACUGUCCGCAUAAUCACUACUGUCAACUUUCAACUAUAUUUUCUCUAGGAACAUAACUAAACAGUAGAACUAAAGCGCGAGCUACGACAUAAUUUGCAAAGAGUCUUUUGACUAUGUUCAAGAUAAUUAAGUUCAUCUUAUGAACUCCCACUUAGAUAGACAUCCCUCUGGUCAUCUAAGUGAUUACAUGAUCCGAGUCAAUUAGGCCGUGUCCGAUCAUCACGUGAGACGGACUAGUCAUCAUCGGUGAACAUCUUCAUGUUGAUUGUAUCUACUAUACGACUCAUGCUCGACCUUUCGGUCUCCGUGUUCCGAGGCCAUGUCUGUACAUGCCAGGCUCGUCAAGUUAACCCUAAGUGUUUUCGCUGUGUAAAACUGUCUUACACCCGUUGUAUGUGAACGUAAGAAUCCAUCACACCCGAUCAUCACGUGGUGCUUAGAAGCGACGAACUGUAGCAACGGUGCACAUUUAGGGGAGAACACUUCUUGAAAUUGUUGUAAGGGAUCAUCUUAUUUACUACCGUCGUUCUAAGCAAACAAGAUGCAUAAACAUGAUAAACAUCACAUGCAAUCAAAUAGUGUAGUGACAUGAUAUGGCCAAUAUCAUAUAGCUCCUUUGAUCUUCAUCUUCGGGGCUCCAUGAUCAUCUUGUCACCGGCAUGACACCAUGAUCUCCAUCAUCAUGAUCUCCAUCAUCGUGUCUUCAUGAAGUUGUCACGCCAACGACUACUUCUACUUCUAUGACUAACGCGUUUAGCAAUAAAGUAAAGUAGUUUACAUGGCGUUCUUCAAUGACACGCAGGUCAUACAAUAAAUAAAGACAACUCCUAUGGCUCCUGCCGGUUGUCAUACUCAUCGACAUGCAAGUCGUGAAUCCUAUUACAAGAACAUGAUCAAUCUCAUACAUCACAUAUAUCAUUCAUCACAUCCUUUUGGCCAUAUCACAUCACAUAGCAUACCCUGCAAAAACAAGUUAGACGUCCUCUAAUUGUUGUUUGCAUGUUUUACGUGGCUGCUAUGGGUUUCUAGCAAGAACGUUUCUUACCUAUGCAAAACCACAACGUGAUAUGCCAAUUGCUAUUUACCCUUCAUAAGGACCCUUUUCAUCGAAUCCGUUCCGACUAAAGUGGGAGAGACUGGCACCCGCUAGCCACCUUAUGCACCAAGUGCAUGUCAAUCGGUGGAACCUGUCUCACGUAAGAGUACGUGUAAGGUCGGUCCGGGCCGCUUCAUCCCACAAUACCGUCGAAACAAGAUUGGACUAGUAACGGUAAGCAUAUUGAACAACAUCAACGCCCACAACUACUUUGUGUUCUACUCGUGCAAAGAAUCUACGCAAUAGACCUAGCUCAUGAUGCCACUGUUGGGGAACGUAGCAGAAAUUCAAAAUUUUCUUACGUGUCACCAAGAUCUAUCUAUGGAGAGACCAGCAAUGAGUAGAAAGAGAAUGCAUCUACAUACCCUUGUAGAUCGCUAAGCGGAAGCGUUCAAGUGAACGGGGUUGAUGGAGUCGUACUCGUCGUGAUUCAAAUCACCGAUGAUCCUAGUGCCGAACAGACGGCACCUCCGCGUUCAACACACGUACAGCCCGGUGACGUCUCCCACGCCUUGAUCCAGCAAGGAGAGAGGGAGAGGUUGAUGAAGACUCCAUCCAACAAUAGCACAACGGCGUGGUGGUGGUGGAGCGUGGCAAUCCAGCAGGGCUUCGCCAAGCACCAUGGGAGAGGAGGAGUAGGGAGAGAGGUAGGGUUGUGCCAGAACUUCGUGUAUAGCUCCCAUGCGCCUCCCCACUAUAUAUAGGGGUGGAGGGGCUGGUUUCUUGCCCUCCAAGUCCAUUGGGGCGUUGGCCAAGGUGGGAGGAAAGAAAUCUCAUUAUUUCCUUCCCCACCGAUUGUUAUCCCCCCUUUUUAGGGAUCUUGAUCUUAUCCCUUCAGGAUAUGAUCUUAUUCCUUCUAAGGGGGGAUCUUGGUGCGCCUUGACCAGGGGUGUGGGGCCUUGCCCCCACUACCCACGUCCAUGUGGGUCCCCCCAUGCAGGUGGGCCCCACUCCGGAACCUUCUAGAACCUUCCCGGUACAAUACCGAAAAAUCCCGAACAUUUUCCGGUGGCCAAAAUAGGACUUCCCAUAUAUAAAUCUUUACCUCCGGACCAUUCCGGAACUCCUCGUGACGUCCGGGAUCUCAUCCGGGACUCCGAACAACAUCCGGUAACCACAUACAAACUUCCUUUAUAACCCUAGCGUCAUCGAACCUUAAGUGUGUAGACCCUACGGGUUCGGGAGACAUGUAGACAUGACCGAGACGUUCUCCGGUCAAUAACCAACAGCGGGAUCUGGAUACCCAUGAUGGCUCCCACAUGUUCCACGAUGAUCUCAUCGGAUGAACCACGAUGUCAAGGACUUAAUCAAUCCCGUAUUCAAUUCCCUUUGUCUAUCGGUAUGUUACUUGCCCGAGAUUCGAUCGUCGGUAUCCAAUACCUUGUUCAAUCUCGUUACCGGCAAGUCACUUUACUCGUUCCGUAACACAUCAUCCCGUGAUCAACUCCUUGGUCACAUUGCGCAUAUGAUGAUGUCCUACCGAGUGGGCCCAGAGAUACCUCUCCGUUUACACGUAGUGACAAAUCCCAGUCUCGAUCCGCAUAAAACAAUAUAUACUUUCGGAGAUACCUGUAGUGCACCUUUAUAGUCACCCAGUUACGUUGUGACGUUUGAUACACCCAAAGCACUCCUACGGUAUCCAGGAGUUACACGCUCUCAUGGUCGAAGGAAGAGAUACUUGACAUUGGCAAAGCUCUAGCAAAUGAACUACACGAUCUUUUGUGCUAGUCUUAGGAUUGGGUCUUGUCCAUCACAUCAUUCUCCUAAUGAUGUGAUCCCGUUAUCAACGACAUCCAAUGUCCAUAGCCAGGAAACCAUGACUAUCUGUUGAUCACAACGAGCUAGUCAACUAGAGGCUCACUAGGGACAUAUUGUGGUCUAUGUAUUCACACGUGUAUUACGAUUUCCGGAUAAUACAGUUAUAGCAUGAAUAAAAGACAAUUAUCAUGAACAAGGAAAUAUAAUAAUAAUACUUUUAUUAUUGCCUCUAAGGCAUAUUUCCAACAGUAUAGCAGACAUAAUAUGUAGUUGACGAGGAGGUUUUACAAUGAUAUAAAUAUAAAAUAAUUUGAAUCAUUGCAAUGCAUCAUUUUCUCUCAUUCAAUAUAAAUAUAAAAUGAUUUUGGCACGGCCAUCCUUUUUGGUAUAUAGUGUUUCCGAUGACAAACAUAGGGAUCUUUUGUACAGAUGCAAAUUUCCAUCUUCUUGUAUUAGACCUUGGAACUUUGCAGUUAUUGCAAGUUCUCUUACAUAUACUGUCUUCGGACUUUGUACUUCAAUUUUAAAUUUCAGAACUAGGAUAGUUAUAUACCUCCUUGGCAGUGGCGGAGCUAGCAUUUGACAGCAGGGUGGUCCGGCCCGAAAAAUUGAUAAGCAAAAUGACAUCUGAAUGUUCUAACAAACUAUCAAUAUCUUAUAGAAGGUCUUACAAACAACUAAAAUUCUCAAUUAAUCUCAGUUUUGUACAUGAUAUGUUAGCUUGCCUUUUGUAAGUAUUUUUCGAUCGAGUCGAAUUAGCUGCUGCUAUAUAUGGUGAUUUGCAUGAGCAUAAUACUGUUGUAGAAGACCAUGCUAAUCAAGCGAAUAUGCUUCUUUAGGAGAAUCGAAAUAACAGUCAGUCGUGGAUGGAUUAGAAUGGAAUAUUUAUUACCUUGGUGACAACGUCGGGCGGGCGUUGAAUCGUGGACAUGUCCCCCAUGGAUUUGGGCGGCUGGGCGAACAGAUGGACCGAGCUCCCUCCUCCGCCCAAGAAGCAACCGAGCUCCCUCCUCCGCCCAAGAAGCAGCCGGGGAAGCAGCACCGACGACCGGAACAAC
rnacentral:lncRNA from 1 species